rnacentral:sRNA from 1 species
AGAAGAUGAAGAAGACAAGAGAGA